UACGGGGGGGGCAAGCGUUGUUCGGAAUUACUGGGCGUAAAGGGCGCGUAGGCGGCCAACUAAGUCGGACGUGAAAUCCCUCAGCUUAACUGGGGAACUGCGUCCGAUACUGGAUGGCUUGGAUUUGGGAGAGGGAUGCGGAAUUCCAGGUGUAGCGGUGAAAUGCGUAGAUAUCUGGAGGAAUACCGGUGGCGAAGGCGGCAUCCUGGACCGACAUUGACGCUGAUGAGCGAAAGCUAGGGGAGCAAACGGG
rnacentral:rRNA from 1 species